rnacentral:lncRNA from 1 species
GUGAUUUUUCUGAGCUGAUACUUUAGGAUUUUGGUUAGCCGAUGCUGCUGGCGAUAGGCAGCAGAAAUUGCACUUCAUCCUCAUGUCCAUGGAUGUGGUUUUCUUCCUUUUUGGCAUAUGUAUUGUAGCAGCAGACUACAGAAUUAAAAUGUAAGAAAUGGAAUAGGAGUGUUUGGUUUGUGCCAAAACCAACACCACCCCAGAUCUGGCUAGCCAACGAUUGGCAACAAGUUUGGCUUGAUGAUUUGGGCACAAACCAAAUCACACCCCAAUUCUAUGUUUAUGCUUUGGAAUUCCUUCUUGGCUGGGAACUUUUUGGCAUCUGCAAGUGGAUGUAAUGUGGCUAUAUAUUCUGAAUGGAAAAGAUUGUCAUAGAUAUUUCAUGUAUGAGUUGCAAUCUUUGCAGUGAUCAGCUGAUGCAAUUACUACUACCAUGUAUCCAAGAAAUCUAUGUUCGUUUUAUUAUUUAGAAAAGAUAGAAUUGAAAGGGUGGAAUAAAAGAAAUUGUGGUUAUGGAAUGACCUGGGCCAGUGGUGCGGUGCUUGGUAUCCCUCCACUGAUGAAGAGAUGAGCCACUGGAGUAAUUCUCAUUAGAUGGAUAAAAAUGGGAACAUAUGAGAUUUUUUUUUGUGGAUGGAAACAUACGAGAUUUGAGUUCAGUGAAGUAAUUUUCAUUAGAAGAAUAAAAAUGGAAACAUAUGAGAUUUGAGCUCAGUAAAAUAAUUUUCAUUAGACGAGUAAAAGUGGAAGCAUAUGAGAGAUUGAGCCCAGAAAAAUAAUUGCAUUAAAUGAAUGAAAAAUAGAAAACAUACGUGACUGAGCCACUGAAUUUUGCAUUAGUAAAUUAAAAAACAAAAAAGAUGGUGGUCUGUUGUGGAAGAACUCUGAACCAGAGCGGGCCCAUGGUGCAGCGGCCUGUUAUCCUUCCACCGUUGGAAGAGGACAGUGAGCGCUGCUCUGUGAAUCCAGCCUAACGCGGUGUCCUGCUACUGCAGGGUAGAUGGAGGCCUUAAAACUGUUGUCAAUGCUAGAAAGUUCGUCCCUGGUGCUAGACUGUGUAUGCAACCUGAUGUCAAACCGAACAAGCGCAAGUCAAGGACCUCACGCAAGGAGAGGUGCCGAACUCAGGCGCCACUUCUGCCUGGACUUCCUGAUGACCUGGCUAUUUCAUGUCUGAUGCGGGUUCCUCGAGUGGAGCACCCUAAUCUUCGUUUAGUCUGUAAAAGAUGGAGCCGACUUUUAUCUGGUAAUUAUUAUUACACACUGCGGAAGAAAUUUGGCAUGGCAGAAGAAUGGGUUUAUGUCUUCAAAAGGGAUCGUGAUCAGAAAAUAUCUUGGCAUGCCUUUGAUCCGGUGCACCAGCUCUGGAAGUCACUUCCUCCAGUUCCACCAGAGUAUUCGGAAGCCGUGGGAUUUGGUUGCGCUGUUCUCAGUGGCUGCUAUUUGUACUUAUUUGGUGGCAAAGGCUCAGUGCGAGGGUCUAUGAGGCGUGUUGUCUUUUACAAUACUCGGACAAACAAGUGGCACCGGGCCCCUGAUAUGCUACGGAAGCGGCAUUUCUUUGGUUCUUGUGUAAUAACCAAUUGCCUCUAUGUUGCUGGUGGGGAGUGUGAAGGGAUACAGAGAACUCUAAGGUCUGCAGAGGUUUACAAUCCAAACAGGAAUAGAUGGUCUUGCAUUACUGAAAUGAGCAUAGGAAUGGUGCCUUUCAUUGGAGUUGUAUAUGAUGGCAAGUGGUUCCUAAAAGGAUUUGAUUCUCACCGGCAGAUUGUGAGCGAGGUCUAUCUGCCAACAUCGAACAUGUGGUCAACCACUGGUAAUGAACUGGUUGCAGGCUUACGGAAUCCAAGCAUUUCGUUUAACGGUCGUCUUUAUUCAGUGGAUUGUCGGGAUGCCUGCAAGCUAAGAGUUUAUGAUGGGGACAAGGGAUUGUGGACAAGGUUCAUGGACAGUAGACGCCAUCUAGGCAGCUCGCGGUCUUUUGAAGCUGUGGCUUUGGUCUCACUGGAUGGAAAGAUCUGUGUUAUCCGUAAUAACAUGGGCAUCACCCUUGUUGAUGUCUGUGACCCAACAACAGUUAUUGAGAUUGACAGUGCCCGCAUGUGGGAGACUUUUGCCCGGAAGGGCCAACACAGAUCUUUCAUGGCAAACUUGUGGUCAACAAUUGUAGGGCGUCAUUUAAAGACCCACAUUAUCCAUUGCCAAGUGCUCCAAGUUUGAAUGUGUCUGUCUGUCAAGUGAAAACAUGUUCAAAUGUAUUUAAUUGUCGUGGGAGAUAAUCAGAUUUUGAAAGAAAGCCCUCGAUUAGAAGCUGAAAUAUGGAUGCCAGUACAACAGUGCCCCACCAGGCGGAGGCAUCAUGUUACGGGAUCGAACAUCAUCUAUUGAUUCCAUUCUACAAAUUCUCCGAGGCAUUAACCAAGUUGCAUGAUGUUUAUCAAAGAGGGGCCAGAGCAAUGGUCGUGAAACGAACAAGAAUCUUCCGUAGCACCAAUGGUGUAUCCGGAAGCACGUGAUUUUUCUGAGCUGAUACUUUAGGAUUUUGGUUAGCCGAUGCUGCUGGCGAUAGGCAGCAGAAAUUGCACUUCAUCCUCAUGUCCAUGGAUGUGGUUUUCUUCCUUUUUGGCAUAUGUAUUGUAGCAGCAGACUACAGAAUUAAAAUGUAAGAAAUGGAAUAGGAGUGUUUGGUUUGUGCCAAAACCAACACCACCCCAGAUCUGGCUAGCCAACGAUUGGCAACAAGUUUGGCUUGAUGAUUUGGGCACAAACCAAAUCACACCCCAAUUCUAUGUUUAUGCUUUGGAAUUCCUUCUUGGCUGGGAACUUUUUGGCAUCUGCAAGUGGAUGUAAUGUGGCUAUAUAUUCUGAAUGGAAAAGAUUGUCAUAGAUAUUUC